UCCUUCGGUUCAUGAGCGUGAUGAUUGGGUGUUCAUGCUCUAGUGUGAGAUGUGCCUCCCUCUAAACCUUGUUAUGACAUUGGCACAUUACCCAUGUGAC
rnacentral:snoRNA from 1 species